AGAGUUUGAUCCUGGCUCAGGGUGAACGCUGGCGGCGUGCUUAAUGCAUGCAAGUCGAGCGCGCCUGCAUCGCUUCGGUGGUGUAGGAAAGCGGCAAACGGCUGAGUAACGCGUGAGUAACCUGUCCUUCGGUGGGGUAAAACCUCGAGAAAUCGGGGCUAAUACCGCAUGUGGUCCCUGUGCCCUGGUGCAGGGAAGAAAGCCUUUGGGCGCCGGAGGAGGGGCUCGCGUCCUAUCAUGGUAGUUGGUGGGGUAAAAGCCUACCAAGCCUAUGACGGGUAGCUGGUCUGAGAGGAUGAUCAGCCAGAGGGGGACUGAGACACGGCCCCCACUCCUACGGGAGGCAGCAGCAGGGAAUUUUGGGCAAUGGGCGAAAGCCUGACCCAGCAACGCCGCGUGGGGGAUGAAGGCCUAAGGGCUGUAAACCCCUUUUCCGAGGGAAGAGAUAGGACCGUACCUCGGGAAUAAGCUCCGGCUAACUACGUGCCAGCAGCCGCGGUAAUACGUAGGGAGCAAGCGUUACCCGGAUUUACUGGGCGUAAAGGGUAUGUAGGCGGCAAGGCAAGUCUUCUGUGAAAGCUCCCGGCUCAACCGGGAGAGGUCAGGAGAUACUGCCUAGCUUGAGGSCAGUAGAGGAGGGUGGAAUUCCCGGUGUAGCGGUGAAAUGCGUAGAUAUCGGGAGGAMCACCAGUGGCGAAAGCGCCCUCUGGGCUGUMCCUGACGCUGAUGUACGAAAGCGUGGGUAGCAAMCCGGAUUAGAUACCCGGGUAGUCCACGCCCUAAMCGUUGGAUGCUAGGUAUUGGGGGUAUCGACCCCCCCCUGUGCCGAAGUUAACGCGAUAAGCAUCCCGCCUGGGGAGUACGGUCGCAAGGCUAAAACUCAAAAGAAUUGACGGGGGCCCGCMCAAGCGGUGGAGCGUGUGGUUUAAUUCGAUGCUAAGCGAAGAMCCUUACCAGGGCUUGACAUGAUGGUAGUAGGAACCCGAAAGGGCAACGACCCCGGGGAAACUCGGGGAGCCACCACAGGUGCUGCAUGGCUGUCGUCAGCUCGUSCCGUGAGGUGUUGGGUUAAGUCCCGCAACGAGCGCAACCCUUGCCGUUAGUUACACUCUCUAGCGGAACAGCCCCCCACAAGGGGGAGGAAGGUGGGGAUGACGUCAAGUCAGCAUGGCCCUUACGCCCUGGGCUACACACACGCUACAAUGGUCGGUACAAUGGGUCGCAAAAGCGCGAGCUGGAGCCAAUCCCAUCAAAGCCGGCCUCAGUUGGGAUCGCAGGCUGCAACCCGCCUGCGUGAACGUGGAAUCGCUAGUAACCGCAGGUCAGCACACUGCGGUGAAUACGUUCCCGGGCCUUGUACACACCGCCCGUCACGUCAUGGGAGCCGGGAAGACCCGAAGUCGCUGAGCUAACCCCUAGGGGAGGCAGGUGCCGAGGGUCGGCCUGGUGACUGGGACRAAGUCGUAACAAGGUAGCUGUAUCGGAAGGKGCGGCUGGAUCACCUCCUUUCU
rnacentral:rRNA from 1 species